UACGUAGGGUGCAAGCGUUAAUCGGAAUUACUGGGCGUAAAGCGUACGCAGGCGGUUGUGCAAGACAGAUGUGAAAUCCCCGGGCUCAACCUGGGAAUUGCAUUUGUGACUGCACGGCUAGAGUGUGUCAGAGGGGGGUAGAAUUCCACGUGUAGCAGUGAAAUGCGUAGAGAUGUGGAGGAAUACCGAUGGCGAAGGCAGCCCCCUGGGAUAACACUGACGCCUCAUGCACGAAAGCGUGGGGAGCAAACAGG
rnacentral:rRNA from 1 species